rnacentral:lncRNA from 1 species
UAUGGUAGUGUUAACUGUUUAGAAUAUAAUGAUGCUUAAAACCCAAAAGGUUGCAAGGUAGUAACUAAUCCCAACUAAAUUGUGAUACCUCUAAAACAUAAGUUACGAGUUGGUGAAAGAUGGAUGCUAUGGAUCGUUAGAUCCGGAUCCAAUACCUUUCUUGUUAAAAUUGUAUAGAGGCGAAAUGUUCGAAUCUUUAUUCUUUUGGAAAGAAGAAAGAAUCACAAAGUUGUUGAGGUUAAUUCACUUAGAUGUUAGUGGCACUUAUCCACAACAUAAUACUACUCAUGUUGUAUGACAUUCACCGAAGAUCACCCCCUCGGUUGGACUAUAGUUUAUUUUAAAUAAACACAAGUCCGAAUACUUUGCAAAAGGUUUCAAAGAAUUCAAGUAAUGUAAGUUGAUGAAUAAGACGUCUAAAGUAUUUACCUCCUUAGAUUUGAUCCAAGAUAAGGUAACACUUUAGAACAGUUUCCUUGAAAGAUAUCAAGGAAAUAAGCAUCAUAAGAUAAUAGAUUUCUACAUAAGGAGAAGAACGAACUUAAAUAAGAUUUAGUUCGUUGGAUGUUAUCUAUUACCCAUAAAUAGGAUAUAUACUUCUAAAACAAUAUGAUUGUCAAUUAGAAGAUCUUCCAAAUUUUUCAUGACUCCAUAAGAUGUAGUUGGAAAGAAAGACAAAUCUUAAAACAUGUUAAGAUUUGGGGUUGUGUGCUUAUAAGGAAUAUUUGUUUGAUAACAAUCUUGUGGGAUAUCCUUACAUUAACUUUUGGAUAUCGCUUCUAUAAACCAACUAACAAAUGUUGUUUUAUUGGGUUGUUCAUUGUAAUCCUACAAUGUGAUUUGCCUAAGAGCAAAUGAACGAGAGAUAGAACUCAAAGAAUGGGUUCUUUGAGAGACAAGAAAGUAAUCAACAAAUAUAAACAACCUAGUUCCUAUACCAAAAGCUCCAAGGUAGUCGAGAAGGAUUAUAAACCAUCAAAGUUGAAUGGUUUGAACUUUAUGACUAUGUCAUAGAGUUGCACCUCUUAAUUCGAAAGAAAUAAGAAUGAAAAUCCUUAUGACUACAUUGAGUGUAUAUACGAUAUAUACUCAAGGAAAUGGUAAAGUACCAUUUGACCCGAAAUAAUGAAACCUUCAUAAGCUAAUUAGUAGCUUAAGGUGACUACAAUCAAAGAGAAUGGUUGACUUUAAAGAAACCAUCUUUGAGAUAGUCUUGGUUUCAAUUAAUUCGAAGAUUGCUAGCUACAACUAAAUGGUGAUUCAAUGUUUGGACAUAAUAUGGGUUUUCGAAACCAUUAUUAAGAUAGUCUUGAUAAUAUAUGUCUAAAAACUAUGAAUCACAAGACAUGUAAGUUGUAGAGAUCCAUCCAUCAUGAAUCUUAGCAAGCUAGUGGGAGCUAUAUGCAUCUUAUGAGCGAAAGUUCAAAUUGUUUAAUUUCUCAUAAAGAUGUAAAUGGACCUUUUGUUUACUAGGUUUACAAAAGAUUAGUGGGAGUUAAUCAUGUUCCUAAAAUUUUAAAUAUAUAUUUGAUAUAUUAAUUUUGGAAAUGAAAAGAAUUCUUCUUCAUUAAAGUUAUGACUUUAAACAUUAUAUGAAGAUAGAAUGUAUAUGGGAGAUAUAGUCUAUAUACAUGGGAUGGAAAUCUAUAAUGAUAUAUUUCAUGAUUUAAUUGGAUUAUAUCAAUCCCUAAUAAUAGACAAUAGAUGCUAGGAAGUUUCUCAUAUGAUGAUGAACUUCAAAUCAAAAGGACAACUCUAGUGAGACUAAGAAGUUGCUCUUCUCAAAGAGAACGUACUCUUUGACUCCCAAAGAAAUAAUGCGUAAAUAGAAUCUUUUAUGCAUACGCAUAAAGGGGAUUUAUGUAUUUCAUAUUGUAUGAAAA